rnacentral:rRNA from 1 species
GUAGCGGCGAGCGAAGCGGGAAGAGCUCAAAUUUAUAAUCUGGCACCUUCGGUGUCCGAGUUGUAAUCUCUAGAAGUGUUUUCCGCGUUGGACCGCACACAAGUCUGUUGGAAUACAGCGGCAUAGUGGUGAAACCCCCGUAUAUGGUGCGGACGCCCAGCGCUUUGUGAUACACUUUCAAUGAGUCGAGUUGUUUGGGAAUGCAGCUCAAAUUGGGUGGUAAAUUCCAUCUAAAGCUAAAUAUUGGCGAGAGACCGAUAGCGAACAAGUACCGUGAGGGAAAGAUGAAAAGCACUUUGGAAAGAGAGUUAACAGUACGUGAAAUUGUUGGAAGGGAAACGCUUGAAGUCAGACUUGCUUGCCGGAGCUUGCUUCGGUUUGCAGGCCAGCAUCAGUUUUCCGGGGUGGAUAAUGACGGUUUGAAGGUAGCAGUCUCGGCUGUGUUAUAGCUUUCCGUUGGAUACAUCCUGGGGGACUGAGGAACGCAGCGUGCUUUUUGCGAAAGACUCGUCUUUUUCACGCUUAGGAUGCUGGUGGAAUGGCUUUAAACGACCCGUCUUA